UAAUACGGAGGGUGCAAGCGUUAUCCGGAUUCACUGGGUUUAAAGGGUGCGUAGGUGGAGUGGUAAGUCAGUGGUGAAAUCUCCAAGCUUAACUUGGAAACUGCCGUUGAUACUAUCAUUCUUGAAUAUCGUGGAGGUAAGCGGAAUAUGUCAUGUAGCGGUGAAAUGCUUAGAUAUGACAUAGAACACCGAUUGCGAAGGCAGCUUGCUACACGAUCAUUGACACUGAGGCACGAAAGCGUGGGGAUCAAACAGGAUUAGAUACCCUGGUAGUCCACGCCCUAAACGAUGAUUACUCGACAUCAGCGAUACACUGUUGGUGUCUGAGCGAAAGCAUUAAGUAAUCCACCUGGGAAGUACGAUCGCAAGAUUG
rnacentral:rRNA from 1 species